ACGGAGGGUGCAAGCGUUGUCCGGAUUUAUUGGGUUUAAAGGGUGCGUAGGCGGCCUAUUAAGUCAGUGGUGAAAGGUAUCAGCUUAACUGAUGACGUGCCAUUGAAACUGACAGGCUUGAGUACAGACGAGGUAGGCGGAAUUUAUGGUGUAGCGGUGAAAUGCAUAGAUACCAUAAAGAACACCAAUUGCGAAGGCAGCUUACUAGACUGUAACUGACGCUGAGGCACGAAAGCGUGGGGAGCGAACAGG
rnacentral:rRNA from 1 species